UGUAAACCACGAGGUGGUUCAGGUUUUUCUCUGUCCGUUUAUCGGUCCAGGUCCACCCGACUAAUCCCCGUUCGCUCCGGGAGGUCAUGGGAGCUGGUCCAGGGGAAUUGUGGCUUGUGGGAAUUGAACCUGGGUUAUCCCGGAGUUCUCCCCCACAAAGAGAGCUCAUUUGCCACUUGAGCUACCACCCCGGGUUACCGAUCAGAUAUA